GACGUAGGGGGCCAGCGUUGUUCGGAAUUACUGGGUGUAAAGGGUUCGUAGGCGGUGUGGCAAGUCGGGAGUGAAAUCUCUGGGCUCAACCCAGAGUCUGCUUCCGAAACUGCUGUGCUUGAGUGUGGGAGAGGCGCGUGGAAUUGCAGGUGUAGCGGUGAAAUGCGUAGAUAUUGGGAGGAACACCAGUGGCGAAGGCGGCUCACUGGACUGGUACUGACGCUGAGGCGCGAAAGCGUGGGGAGCAAACGGG
rnacentral:rRNA from 1 species